GACGAACGUUGGCGGCGUGCUUAACACAUGCAAGUCGAACGGAAAGGCCCUGCUUUUGUGGGGUGCCCGAGUGGCGAACGGGUGAGUGACACGUGAGUAACCUGCCCUUGACUUUGGGAUAACUUCAGGAAACUGGGGCUAAUACCGGAUAGGAGCUCCUGCUGCAUGGUGGGGGUUGGAAAGUUUCGGCGGUUGGGGAUGGACUCGCGGCUUAUCAGCUUGUUGGUGGGGUAGUGGCUUACCAAGGCUUUGACGGGUAGCCGGCCUGAGAGGGUGACCGGCCACAUUGGGACUGAGAUACGGCCCAGACUCCUACGGGAGGCAGCAGUGGGGAAUAUUGCACAAUGGGCGGAAGCCUGAUGCAGCAACGCCGCGUGCGGGAUGACGGCCUUCGGGUUGUAAACCGCUUUCGCCUGUGACGAAGCGUGAGUGACGGUAAUGGGUAAAGAAGCACCGGCUAACUACGUGCCAGCAGCCGCGGUGAUACGUAGGGUGCGAGCGUUGUCCGGAUUUAUUGGGCGUAAAGGGCUCGUAGGUGGUUGAUCGCGUCGGAAGUGUAAUCUUGGGGCUUAACCCUGAGCGUGCUUUCGAUACGGGUUGACUUGAGGAAGGUAGGGGAGAAUGGAAUUCCUGGUGGAGCGGUGGAAUGCGCAGAUAUCAGGAGGAACACCAGUGGCGAAGGCGGUUCUCUGGGCCUUUCCUGACGCUGAGGAGCGAAAGCGUGGGGAGCGAACAGGCUUAGAUACCCUGGUAGUCCACGCUGUAAACGGUGGGUACUAGGUGUGGGGUCCAUUCCACGGGUUCCGUGCCGUAGCUAACGCUUUAAGUACCCCGCCUGGGGAGUACGGCCGCAAGGCUAAAACUCAAAGGAAUUGACGGGGCCCCGCACAAGCGGCGGAGCAUGCGGAUUAAUUCGAUGCAACGCGUAGAACCUUACCUGGGUUUGACAUGGAUCGGGAGUGCUCAGAGAUGGGUGUGCCUCUUUUGGGGUCGGUUCACAGGUGGUGCAUGGCUGUCGUCAGCUCGUGUCGUGAGAUGUUGGGUUAAGUCCCGCAACGAGCGCAACCCUUGUUCACUGUUGCCAGCACGUUAUGGUGGGGACUCAGUGGAGACCGCCGGGGUCAACUCGGAGGAAGGUGGGGAUGACGUCAAGUCAUCAUGCCCCUUAUGUCCAGGGCUUCACGCAUGCUACAAUGGCUGGUACAGAGAGUGGCGAGCCUGUGAGGGUGAGCGAAUCUCGGAAAGCCGGUCUCAGUUCGGAUUGGGGUCUGCAACUCGACCUCAUGAAGUCGGAGUCGCUAGUAAUCGCAGAUCAGCAACGCUGCGGUGAAUACGUUCCCGGG
rnacentral:rRNA from 1 species